rnacentral:lncRNA from 1 species
AACAACAGAGAGUACCCACAUAAUUGCGAUCAACUGCACAAACAUGAAUGGCUUAUCGUGAUCAUUGUCCAAGGACCAAAACAAUUAAGACCCAACUCUUUAAUAUAUGGUACCUUGAGGAACUUCAUAAAGUCCUUCCCAGAAGCCCCUUCUCUGAAGGUUGUAAAGGCCUGAUCAAAUGUCAUGCCUCAGUGACAGAGCAAUGUUCACGAAAAGUUCUUCUGGUACAACAAUCUCAAUAAGUUUUGGAGGAUACUUAAAUUCAAAAUUAAAAGAGUAAGACUUCAUUUUAGUUCAAGAUAUCUACUACCAAAUAGGAAAAAUAAGCAGAGUUCAUUAUUUUGAGAGAACACCACCAAGCAGCAUGACAGAAAGUCAGAGACAAACCUUCUUUGAUGAAGACAGGGAGUACAUAAUUGAUGACUUUAAGCAGAGAUUUUCAUGUCCUGCAGUCACGACAUUUGUUCGUUUAAGUUGCCAAGUUGUGGCUUGAAAAUUAUACACCGAAAGAAAAUGAAAAUAUGUCAGUACAAAAAUGUUUAGUUUCAGAUAUCCCAAAUAAGUAUAUUGUCGAACACAUCUACCAUAAGAAAGAAAGAAAGAAAAAAAAAAAUCUGAUUAGUAUGCAUUUACUGACGAUCCUGAGGUGCCCUUGAUUGUGCAUUUGUUUGCCUGCAAUUAAUGGUAGCAAAUCUAUUUAUAACCUUUUCUGUCACUACUAAACCCAUAAGUGGGUGGAUGAGGUGGACCUCAUGUACCAGGAUUCAUAUAAAGAAAUAUUGUGAGUGCAAUGUCAGAUGUGCAGCUUGGUGAAUGGUGAUCAGGAGGGUAUACUAAUGCAUAAAUUUAUCGACAGGAGCCUUCGCGACACAACUGUAGAACUUUUAUAGUCAAUACAAACAGUAAACAGAUAGAACCAAACCACAAAAUAGUCAAAACUUUAAUUUGCAUUGCAAUCAAAUAAAAUAAAACUACACACACCUACAAAACUCUGAAAUUAAUAGCAUGAACUAUGUAUAAGUGAUAGAAAAAAAUAUAUCGACCUGGCUGGAUAAAGAUGUUUUCCACAAUUCCUCUUUCAGAGUCCCCUGCAAUUAAGGUAGAAAAGAAAAUAUUCUUUUUCCACACUAUAGUCAAUACAAACAAAAUUUAUAUGGCAGUGCGGUUUUGUUGCAAUUAAGGACCAUAAACCUCGCUUAGCUAACAGGUCACGUACAUGGUUAGCUUUGCAUUAUAUACACUGCAACUUAAACUUUACAGAACUGCAGUACUUAUACAAUCAUCUACCAGAGACUACAGAAAACCUUCCUUCCAUGAGUGUUAAAAAAAAGUAUAGUCUGUUUGAACCUCCACAUGAUGUAUACCUAUUCCCUCAAUUAAUGCAGUCCAUCACUGAGAGCUCUGAGUUAUGCCAUGUUAUUCGAAAACUUCCCCACUGUUGAGGACAACCAUCACCAUUUAACUUCCAACUUCCUGUUUGAGGUUAGUAUCA